rnacentral:rRNA from 1 species
CUGGUCAAGUGAUUCCGCGCCGAUAAUGUAGCGGGGCUUAAGUUAUCCGCCGAAGCUGUGGCAACCUGUGUGGUUGGGUAGGGGAGCGUCGUGUCAGUGGUGAAGCUGCCGGGUGACUGUGUGGUGGAGUUGAUGCGAGUGAGAAUGCAGGCAUGAGUAGCGUGUGACGGGUGGGAAUCCCGUCCGCCGAUUAUCCAAGGGUUCCAGGGUCAAGUUUGUCUGCCCUGGGUGAGUCGGGUCCUAAGGCGAGGCCGACAGGCGUAGUCGAUGGGUAACCAGUUGAUAUUCUGGUACCGGCUUGUCACCGUCCGUGUCGAGGUGUGUGAUGCUAAGCAUGUGAGCUUGUCUUGGGAGUGUUUUUGAUGCUUCUGGGGUGGGUGAGUGUGUGAACCGAUCAUGUAGUAGGCAAGCUGCGGAGGGACGCAGUGAGGUAGCUCAUCCCCGGUGAUGGUUGUCCGGGGCUAAGUGUGUGGACUGUCUGGUAGGUAAAUCCGCUGGGCGUGAAGGUUGAGGCAUGAUGGGGAGCCCAUGGUUGUGGGUGAGUGAGUGAUCCUGUACUGUCGAGAAAAGCUUCGUGAGCGAGGUGGCGGGUCCGCCCGUACCCUAAACCGACACUGGUGGAUAGGUAGAGUAUACCGAGGCGAUCGAGUGAAUCGUGGUGAAGGAACUCGGCAAAAUGCCCCCGUAACUUUGGGAUAAGGGGGACCUGAGCUGUCGUGCACCCGUGCGGUGUGGUGGCGGUGAGGGGCGCAGAGUCCAGGGGGAAACGACUGUUUACCAAAAACACAGGUCCGUGCGAAGUCGUAAGACGAUGUAUACGGACUGACUCCUGCCCGGUGCUGGAAGGUUAAGGGGAACUGUGAGUGUAUGCGUAGCGGUGAACUUAAGCCCCAGUAAACGGCGGUGGUAACUAUAACCAUCCUAAGGUAGCGAAAUUCCUUGUCGGGUAAGUUCCGACCUGCACGAAUGGAGUAACGAUUUCCCUACUGUCUCCACCAUGAACUCGGUGAAAUUGCAUUACGAGUAAAGAUGCUCGUUACGCGCAGCAGGACGGAAAGACCCCGGGACCUUUACUAUAGUUUGGUAUUGGUGAUUGGGACGGUUUGUGUAGGAUAGGUGGGAGACGUUGAUGCGGCCACGCUAGUGGUGGUGGAGUCGUUGGUGAAAUACCACUCUGAUUGUUCUGGUUAUCUCACUGUGGACCGUGAUCCGGUUCAAGGACAGUGCCUGAUGGGUAGUUUGACUGGGGCGGUCGCCUCCUAAAGGGUAACGGAGGCGCCCAAAGGUUCCCUCANCCUGGUUGGUAAUCAGGUGGUGAGUGNANGUCGCUANANGGNNGCUUGACUGUGAGACUGACAGGUCGAGCAGGGACGAAAGUCGGGACUAGUGAUCUGACGGUGGCUUGUGGAUGCGCCGUCACUCAACGGAUAAAAGGUACCCCGGGGAUAACAGGCUGAUCUUGCCCGAGCGCUCAUAGCGACGGCAUGGUUUGGCACCUCGAUGUCGGCUCGUCGCAUCCUGGGGCUGGAGUCGGUCCCAAGGGUUGGGCUGUUCGCCCAUUAAAGCGGCACGCGAGCUGGGUUCAGAACGUCGUGAGACAGUUCGGUCCCUAUCCGCUGCGCGCGGAGGAAUCUUGAGAAGGGCUGUCUNUAGUACGAGAGGACCGAGANGGANNNACCUCUGGUGUNCCAGUUGUUCUGCCAAGAGCAUGGCUGGUUGGCUACGUCGGGUUGUGAUAACCGCUGAAAGCAUCUAAGCGGGAAGCACGCUUCAAGAUAAGGGUUCCCACAGGAGUGUUCCUGGUAAGGUCCCCGAGAGAUGAUCGGGUUGAUAGGCCAGACGUGGACGCAUCGUAAGGUGUGGAGCUGACUGGUACUAAUAGACCGAGGACUUUCAUU